CAGCAGCCAGGUAAUACAGAGGGUGCGAGCGUUAAUCGGAUUUACUGGGCGUAAAGCGUGCGUAGGCGGCUUCUUAAGUCGGAUGUGAAAUCCCUGAGCUUAACUUAGGAAUUGCAUUCGAUACUGGGAAGCUAGAGUAUGGGAGAGGAUGGUAGAAUUCCAGGUGUAGCGGUGAAAUGCGUAGAGAUCUGGAGGAAUACCGAUGGCGAAGGCAGCCAUCUGGCCUAAUACUGACGCUGAGGUACGAAAGCAUGGGGAGCAAACAGGAUUAGAUACCCCUGUAGUCCCUGUCUCUUAUACC
rnacentral:rRNA from 1 species